ncrna:unclassified sequences eL15-Euryarchaeota ribosomal protein leader
CGGGAUCCGUCCCGUUGGAAUGUGGCUGUAAUAACGUCAGCUGAACCGUGAA